GGCCCGGUUUUUAGGAUGGAACCGCGUAACAAUCUCGCGUUUUGAUUGGUCCUUGUCUGUCGGAGGAAUAUGACAUCAACACGAGCUUGGAGGGAGGAUCUUAAACUUUGAAACGAAGCAAAGAAGCAUUGUGCUCGGAGGAGAGGAGUUAUUGUUCUACUGCUCGCCAGGACUUUUCAAAUAUAGCAAACGAUGGGACCCAAAAUAAGACUGUCUGACAUAGAAUCGACAUCAACUUCAUCGUCCUCAUACCUAGAAGGAAUCGAUCUCUGUAAAAUUCCACCGCUUAGGAGAAGCUCG